AUGUAAGCUUUUAUUAACCACACUGCUAUCAUUCCUUCUUCUACAGCAACAGAGAAUGUCGCUACGUGUGUGACAAUGUUGUAGCAGUUGAAGGCAGACAAGAACACCUGCAUCACAAGGACUUCCUACAACACCCAUUAACAGCAAACAUCUGCAACACGCGGCAAGAAGGCGAACAGGAAAUGCCUGCUGUAGUGGAUACUCCAGGUUAAUUUUGACCACCUAAGGUUCCUUAACAUGAUUACUUCCUGAGUGGACAGCUAGUGGUCAUCCAACUUCGUUGUGCUAUGUGUUGCUGCAGAGGAUCACUUUGCUGGAGACACUACCAUGUUCGACGAUGACAUGCCGUGUUCCAGGACCAAUUUCAAGA